rnacentral:rRNA from 1 species
CCUACGGGGGGCUUCAGUGGGGAAUAUUGGACAAUGGGGGGAACCCUGAUCCAGCCAUGCCGCGUGUGUGAAGAAGGUCCUCGGGUUGUAAAGCACUUUCAGUGAGGAAGAACGCCUGGUGGUUAAUACCCAUCAGGAAAGACAUCACUCACAGAAGAAGCACCGGCUAACUCCGUGCCAGCAGCCGCGGUAAUACGGAGGGUGCGAGCGUUAAUCGGAAUUACUGGGCGUAAAGCGCGCGUAGGUGGCUUGAUAAGCCGGUUGUGAAAGCCCCGGGCUCAACCUGGGAACGGCAUCCGGAACUGUCAAGCUAGAGUGCAGGAGAGGAAGGUAGAAUUCCCGGUGUAGCGGUGAAAUGCGUAGAGAUCGGGAGGAAUACCAGUGGCGAAGGCGGCCUUCUGGACUGACACUGACACUGAGGUGCGAAAGCGUGGGUAGCAAACAGGAUUAGAUACCCUAGUAGUC